rnacentral:rRNA from 1 species
AGCAGCCGCGGUAAUUCCAGCUCCAAUAGCGUAUAUUAAAGUUGUUGCAGUUAAAAAGCUCGUAGUUGAAUUUCGGGGUCAGCAAGUUGGUCGUGCCACCGGUAUGUACUGGCUUUGCUGAUUCCUCCUUCUUGUAGAACCGUAAUGCCAUUAAGUUGGUGUUGCGGGAAAACAGGACUGUUACUUUGAAAAAAUUAGAGUGUUUAAAGCAGGCUAACGCUUGAAUACAUUAGCAUGGAAUAAUAAAAUAGGACGACGAUCCUAUUUUGUUGGUUUCUAGGAUUGACGUAAUGAUUAAUAGGGAUAGUUGGGGGCAUUAGUAUUCAAUUGUCAGAGGUGAAAUUCUUGGAUUUAUUGAAGACUGACUACUGCGAAAGCAUUUGCCAAGGAUGUUUUCAUUAAUCAAGAACGAAAGUUAGGGGAUCGAAGACGAUCAGAUACCGUCGUAGUCUUAACCAUAAACUAUGCCGACUAGGGAUCGGGUGAUGUUAAUUUUAUAAUGACUCAUUCGGCGCCUUAC